rnacentral:rRNA from 1 species
UGGGGAAUAUUGGACAAUGGGCGCAAGCCUGUUCCAGCCAUGCCGCGUGAGUGAUGAAGGCCCUAGGGUUGUAAAGCUCUUUCACCGGUGAAGAUAAUGACGGUAACCGGAGAAGAAGCCCCGGCUAACUUCGUGCCAGCAUCCGCGGUAAUACGAAGGGGGCUAGCGUUGUUCGGAUUUACUGGGCGUAAAGCGCACGUAGGCGGACUAUUAAGUCAGGGGUGAAAUCCCGGGGCUCAACCCCGGAACUGCCUUUGAUACUGGUAGUCUUGAGUUCGAGAGAGGUGAGUGGAAUUACGAGUGUAGAGGUGAAAUUCGUAGAUAUUCGGGGGAACAGCAGUGGCGAAGGCGGCUCACUGGCUCGAUACUGACGCUGAGGUGCGAAAGCGUGGGGAGCAAACAGG